AAACAGGAUGUAAAUAUUUGCGGGCAGUUGAAGGAGCAGUGAUAUCUGAGCAGGGGCUGUCCAAAGCUAGGGCACUGAGACAAUGCUUACUUGGGGACCCGCCCACCUCCACCUCUGUUAAGGUUGAGGGUGGAGGACUGAGCCGGAGGGACUGGCCUACUGCUUUCAUUGUUGGGGUGCUCGGAGCUGGAGCUCAGGUCUAAAGUAGUCCACGCUGUUCUGGAACUCACAAUAUAGUCCUUCUACCUCCACAUCCCAAGUGCUGGAAUUACAGUAUUGGCCACCACGCCUCAGCUGAUUGCCACCUAACAGCCUGGCCAGUCUCACCAGCCUGGCUGCCUGGUAUCAAGUCCUGGGGGAUAUGUCUGCCUCUUCACUUCAGAACUGAAGUUAAAAACGUGCUGAUACACCCAACUUUUAUUUAUCUAUUUUUAAAAGAUUUAUUUAUUUAUUAUAUACAACAUUAUGCCUCCAUAUAUGCCUGCAGGCCAGAAGA
rnacentral:lncRNA from 1 species